GACUUCUUCGGGCUCCGCGGCGGUGCGCAGGCGCCGUGGCCCGACCAGGGACUUUGUUCUCCGCGGAGAAACCCAAGGGCGGUGCCGGUACUGGCUGCGCACGCGCGUCGCCUCAUUUCCGGUGCUCUCUUUCGCUGGGUCGCUCGGGUCGGCUUCGGUCGCCGUCGCUCCCGCUCUCCCACCUUCGCCAACCGUCGCUCGGGCCUCUGCCGCUGCCGCGUCGCUUCCUCGAUCCCUCGAUCGCAUAUUCUCCACAAUGCAGCGCCGGGACGACCCCGCCGCGCGCAUGAGUCGGUCCUCAGGCCGCAGCGGCUCCAUGGACCCCUCAGGUGCCCACCCCUCGGUGCGUCAGGCGCCGUCUCGGCAGCCGCCGCUGCCUCACCGGUCCCGGGGAGGCGGAGGGGGGUCCCGGGGGGGCGCCCGGGCCUCGCCCGCCACGCAGCCGCCGCCGCUGCUGCCGCCCUCGGCCACGGGUCCCGACGCGACUGUGGGCGGUCCAGCGCCGACCCCGCUGCUGCCCCCCUCAGCCACUGCCUCGGUCAAGAUGGAGCCGGAGAACAAGUACCUGCCCGAACUCAUGGCCGAGAAGGACUCGCUCGACCCGUCCUUCACUCACGCCAUGCAGUUGCUGACGGCAGAAAUUGAGAAGAUUCAGAAAGGGGAUUCAAAAAAGGACGAUGAGGAGAAUUACUUGGAUUUAUUUUCUCACAAGAACAUGAAGCUGAAGGAGAGGGUUCUGAUACCUGUCAAGCAGUAUCCCAAGUUCAAUUUUGUGGGGAAGAUCCUUGGACCACAAGGGAAUACAAUCAAAAGACUGCAAGAAGAGACUGGUGCAAAGAUUUCUGUGUUGGGAAAGGGCUCAAUGAGAGACAAGGCCAAGGAGGAAGAGCUGCGCAAAGGUGGAGACCCCAAAUAUGCCCACUUGAAUAUGGAUCUGCAUGUCUUCAUUGAAGUUUUUGGACCCCCGUGUGAGGCUUAUGCUCUUAUGGCCCAUGCUAUGGAGGAAGUCAAGAAGUUUCUAGUACCAGAUAUGAUGGAUGAUAUCUGCCAGGAGCAGUUCCUAGAGCUCUCCUACUUGAAUGGAGUACCAGAGCCCUCUCGCGGACGUGGGGUGCCGGUGAGAGGCCGGGGAGCUGCACCUCCUCCUCCACCUGUUCCCAGGGGCCGAGGUGUUGGACCACCUCGGGGGGCUUUAGUGCGUGGUACACCAGUGAGAGGAGCCAUCACCAGAGGUGCCACUGUGACUCGAGGAGUGCCACCCCCACCUACUGUGAGGGGUGCUCCAGCACCAAGAGCACGGACAGCAGGCAUCCAGAGAAUACCUUUGCCUCCACCACCUGCACCAGAAACUUAUGAAGAAUAUGGAUAUGAUGAUACAUAUGCAGAACAGAGUUAUGAAGGCUACGAAGGCUAUUACAGCCAAAGCCAAGGGGACUCAGAAUAUUAUGACUAUGGACAUGGGGAGGUUCAAGAUUCUUAUGAAGCAUAUGGCCAAGAUGACUGGAAUGGGACCAGGCCGUCGCUGAAGGCCCCUCCAGCUAGGCCGGUGAAGGGAGCAUACAGAGAGCACCCAUAUGGACGUUAUUAAAAACAAACAUGAGGGGAAAAUAUCAGUUAUGAGCAAAGUUGUUACUGAUUUCUUGUAUCUCCCAGGAUUCCUGUUGCUUUACCCACAACAGACAAGUGAUUGAAAACUCCUGAGGCAUUUCUUGGAGUAGAAUGGGUAGUGAAGACCCAUGUCAGGAUCCUAGCUCCCCGACCAGGGAUUGAACCUGGGUCAUGACUGUGAAAGCACCGAGUCCCAACCACUGGACCACCAGGGAAUUCCCUGUGUCAUUUCUUUUUAUGAUUUGAAUUUUAUUUUAGUUAUUAUUUUUUUUUUAUAUAGCAGGUCUGUGUCUUAUUUCUUUAUCAUUAAAUGGAGUUGAUAAUAAUAGCUAACAUGUAUCACUACGUGCGUCAUACCAUCCUACGCAGUUAAUAAAAACUAUCUCAUUUGGUCCUGUC